rnacentral:rRNA from 1 species
AGUGAACGCUGGCGGCAGGCCUAACACAUGCAAGUCGAACGGCAGCACAGAGGAGCUUGCUCCUUGGGUGGCGAGUGGCGGACGGGUGAGGAAUACAUCGGAAUCUGCCUAUUUGUGGGGGAUAACGGAGGGAAACUUACGCUAAUACCGCAUACGACCUACGGGUGAAAGCGGAGGACCUUCGGGCUUCGCGCAGAUAGAUUAGCCGAUGUCGGAUUAGCUAGUUGGCGGGGUAAAGGCCCACCACGGGGACGAGCCGUAGCUGGUCAGAGAGGAUGAUCAGCCACACUGGAACUGAGACACGGUCCAGACUCCUACGGGAGGCAGCAGUGGGGAAUAUUGGUCAAUGGGCGCAAGCCUGAUCCAGCCAUGCCGCGUGGGUGAAAAAGGCCUUCGGGUUGUAAAGCCCUUUUGUUGGGAAAGAAAAGCAGCCGGUUAAUACCCGGUUGUUCUGACGGUACCCAAAGAAUAAGCACCGGCUAACUUCGUGCCAGCCGCCGCGGUAAAAC